GGGGCAGCCCACAGGGUUCCGAGCAUGUGCUGGCAGUUGCUCUUUGGAGCACCCACUUCACUUCUCCCAUGUAGUUCCUGAGUGCAGGACUCUCCUGAAGAAGGGGCGUCUAAAAGGCCAGCCCAUGCAUCUUGUUCAGACCAGGCUGCUCCAUCUCCGCUAAGCCCAGGGAUCCACUUAACCUCGUCGCGACAUUUCUCAGAAGCCAUGACAUGUCCCUGCGGCUGGAGGCCUUUCAAGGGUGGCCCAGGAGGCCUCAAGGGCCCGGUGUGGCCUGCAAAGGAAGAGAACAGCUGUUCUCACGGAAGGAUCCAAAGGGUUCAAAGGCGAAGGGUGCCAUCUGCUUCCCCACUGAUUCAGAAGAUAAACAGGAGAAGUGUCCUGUUUCACCCAUAUUGCUGGUCCUGAUUUUUCAAUAGUGUCCCUACCCUGAAGCUCUUCCAUUGGUCAUCAUGGAGUUAGCUAACAGCCCAGGGAACUGGUCUCUUUUCCCUUUUCCCUUACCACCUGGAACUCACCUGGAAAGGGCAAUCAGCUGGCUCUAUAUCAGACGCCACCACCUGGUCUUUGAAGUUUCUGUCCUACCAGUGCCACAGCUCCCUCUCCCACUUCUGAACUACCUCCAAGAGAGACCAUCCUCAGCAGCCUAGUAUGUUAUGCUAGUCCUGGAAUGGUGUAUUCUGGAUGUCUACUCAAGGCCAAACCCCAGUAUUGCCUUUCGUUUCCCUAUUCAAGGCCAAGGCUAGAUUCUCUUCAUUGUCUCCAUUUCUCUUUCUCCAGAGCUCCUAUAGGGCAAGACACUGUUUCUCAUAUAUUUCUGGAUCCUUGGAGCUUAGCUCGGAGCUUGGCAUACAUGCCCAGCAUGAACUUUUCUGAAUAAAAUAAUUUCAAAUGCUGUA
ensembl:lncRNA SPATA8 spermatogenesis associated 8